rnacentral:rRNA from 1 species
UACGGGGGGGGUAAGCGUUGGUCGGAAUUACUGGGCGUAAAGGGCUCGUAGGCGGCCAACUAAGUCGGACGUGAAAUCCCUCAGCUUAACUGGGGAACUGCGUCCGAUACUGGAUGGCUUGGAUUUGGGAGAGGGAUGCGGAAUUCCAGGUGUAGCGGUGAAAUGCGUAGAUAUCUGGAGGGACACCGGUGGCGAAGGCGGCAUCCUGGACCAAUAUUGACGCUGAGGAGCGAAAGCCAGGGGAGCAAACGGG